rnacentral:miRNA from 1 species
UUGUGGUUUGCAUUUGAACUG